AAUCUACGUAGUUGCAUUGGAGAAAGAGAGGGAGACACAAAACCACCUGUCUCGGUGUCACACAUGAGGAGUUGAGGAGGAGAUGAAGUCAGUGAAUAUGACCUGGCCUGGGGGAGUUUCCAGAAGAAGGCCCAGAAUCGCUGGAUGCCAGGAGUGGAGAUCCUUCGUUGCUGCCCUACAUGAUAGGAGGCAUCGGGCAGUAGAUGCUGUAAUUUGAAACGGAAGGUGUCCUGCCAAUAAAUUUUCAUCCCACCUGAACUGCCUUGCCUGCCUGCACCCAGUCAUCUGUUCCUGAGCAUUUUCAUUUUCCUCUAUUUUUCAUCAUCGUUUGUUUCGGCCUGUAUGAAGUGAAUUUCACAUUGAUUGGUGGAGCUGCUAAGUUGGCAUUACAGGGCCACGCCGGGGUAUGAUCCUUUGGGUUGAACAUCAUGACUGCUAGUUGGUCGGCAAAGGUGAUGGGAUCGAUCAAUGUCACAUGGAGUAAGAUCGAUACCAAUCUGCUUUGCUACAUUUCGAACAAUCUCAUACGGAUACGGAUAUUAUUGCGACAGGAGUACUGCUCGAUGUGGUCAAGCCUAUUUGACAAAGCAUUAUGGUGUUAGUCAUGUUAUCAGAAACCGAUUUUUCAAAAUCACGGAGUUGCUUCAAUUUAGUAUCGAUAGAUAUUUCAAGAACGUGUAGACUAGUGAGCUUUUCAUCAAGAAUUUCACGCAAUUUAUUUUCGUGCUUAUCCAUGUCAUCAUUGAGUUUUUGUCUCUCGCGUUCCAUUGCCACGGCCACCGCUCUUUGAACGACUGUAUCAAUAUGAUCUAGGUAUGCUGGGCUUUGUUUAGAUCCAGUUAAUGAUGAAGCAGAGGAUUGUGUACAUGCGUUAGCCGAGUGCAAGCGGCCUCUUGAUCUGGUGGAUAUCUUAGACAUGUUAGAGAUUACGUAAUGAUAUAAUUGAAAAGUGGGAUGGGCUGUGCAUCUGCCAACUCACCAGUCAACCAAUUAGAGACGGCCUUCCAAAGUGACACAGCACGAAAAUAUCAAUAUGGGACUGGUCUAGUCAACGCAUAGAUCCUGAAAAAACCAUGGAGACCGCAGAUGCAAAAUGACUUCCAUACAUAAAGAUAUGAUGCACAAUCUCCAGUGGGUUCAAAACACUGAACACAUACUAUGCUGAUACACAGACUAUCAUAAGAACUUUAUCAAGCUAAGGAAAUCUGGUAUGAAAUCUCUCAGCUCACAUAAAAAGCCUACGUAGCUACAUGUAGGGAAGAAAAUGCGUAAUUGCUGAGAAAUGAGCAAAAUAAGCAUGUAAUUCUAUCAAAUGUCAGGUAUUUUUCGAAUCGAUUAUAAUACACUGUCCCACAUAUGCUUUUCUGUGUUUAC